rfam:Stegodyphus mimosarum contig24879, whole genome shotgun sequence.
GCCUUCGUGGUGUAGUUGUCAGCACGCUCGACGCGUAACCCGAAAGGUCCGUGGUUCGAUUCCCGGCAAAGGCG